AUCCUUGUUUUGAAAAGCGACAUUAAAGCUCCUUUUUAAUUUUAAUUUUAAUUUUUUAUUUUAUAAAAAAUGACUUUCUCUCUCUUACUUUACUCUUUCUCAAUCACCCACACGAUUUCAUCCUUCCAAUUUCUUCUUCACUCCUCAUUCUCAUCUAACAAUCUUCCCUUUCUUCUCCGAAGAGUCGCUGGCACCACCACCACCAUCGUCCCUCGUGCCCAGCUCGUGCCCGCCACCACCGCCGUCACUCGUCACUUUCUUCAAACACUGAUGUUGCUUUGGGGUUUUUUGCUUUGGGGUUGUCGACGAAAAGAAUGAUCCGUUUUCUAUGGCACCCCAAAAAGCACUUGAAAGUAUUGGAAAAACAUUGAGUGUACAGUAUGAGAGGCCCGUUAUAAAGUUCAGCUGGAUCCCACUGUGGAAGAGGUAAAAAAGCUUUGUAGUACAUGUCGCAAGUAUGCAAAGACUGAACGGGUUCUCUUCCAUUAUGUUUAAAUAUUAGUGUUGAUCCACCUGAUGUAAUUAAGAUUUCACCUUGUGCCAGAAUGGAGUGCUGGAUAGAUCCGUUUUCUAUGGCACCCCAAAAAGCACUUGAAAGUAUUGGAAAAACAUUGAGUGUACAGUAUGAGAGGUGGCAACCCAGGGUGGAGGGACUGCAUUUUGCUUGCAGCAUGUGAAUCACAUGAAACUCUUCCCCAAAGAGCUGAAUUUCCUGCAGAUGUUUUUACCUCUUGCCUUACAACACCAAUCAAGAUGGCCUUGAGAUGGUUAUUCGAGCUCGGUUGCUACAGUUCAAGAAGAGGAAUGUCAAGCCCUUGCUGCAUUUGGUGCUUGUUUCCAAUAUUAAUAAUUGUUUGAAGAAGCAUUUUCGAGACCUUUAAAAUGUCGUGAUCUUUGAAUUUAUAUAAUUCUGUUUGGUUGCAGUUAAUUUUACAAGCGUGUUUUCAUUGUUGGUGGAAUCAGACUUGAAUAAUAUGGGAUUUAUGUGCUUUAAGAUAUGAAUGGGAUUUAUUGUUGCUUUAAGAUAUGAAUGGGAUUUAUGUGCAAGUGCUAAUAGCAUUUUCAUUGUUGGUGGAAUCAGACUUGAAUAAUAUGGUUUCCUACGUAA